rnacentral:sRNA from 1 species
CGCUAGCGUGAGGGAUAGUAGCGAAAAGCCCACAGCGAGGAAGAAUGACGAAGCGAGGACUUGUAGCGAAUAGCCCGGCCCCUU